AUGGUAAAGCCUCAUGAACUUUGUGCCAAUCAAGAAAAUGCUGCAGUGUCUUCUGCAAAGAAGCCCAAGUUAGCAGGGAAAGAUUCAGCAAGCACUGCCUCCACCCACUGUGACUCUUAUUCAGGACUGGGAAAGGACACGGGAGCACAGAGCAUGGGCCAAGCUUGCCAAGAGCCAUCGUGUUCAUGCUCUUGUUCUUCCGCAAGUCAGCAGUGCCAGAUGACAGCCUGCACUCAGGAGAUUCUGGAAAUUUUGAAGCAAGGCAAUGCAUUUAUUUUAGAUACUGACUUAGAUUUUUUUUCUGUCAAGAACCCCUUCAAAGAAAUGUUCACUCAGGAGGAAUACAAAAUCUUACAAGAGCUCUACCAAUUUAAAAAGCCUGCUAGCAACCUAACUGAGGAAGAUUUGGUAGAUACUGUUGAUACUCAAAUUCAUCAGUUAGCAGACUUAGAAGCAGCUUUUGCUGAUUUGUGUGAUGGUGAUGAUGAAGAAACUAUACAGAGAUGGGCUUCAAACCCUGGGUAAGGUCCCAAAUCAUUUUCUUUGACUCCAAGUCUACUAAUUUUCA
rnacentral:lncRNA from 1 species